GAUGAACGCUGGCGGCGUGCUUAACACAUGCAAGUCGAACGGACUUAUUAUGAAGCCUAGCGAUUAAUAAGUUAGUGGCGGACGGGUGAGUAACGCGUGGGUAACCUGCCUUAUACAGGGGGAUAACACUUAGAAAUAGGUGCUAAUACCGCAUAAGCGCACGUCUCUGCAUGGAGAUGUGUGAAAACUCCGGUGGUAUAAGAUGGACCCGCGUCUGAUUAGCUAGUUGGUGAGGUAACGGCCCACCAAGGCGACGAUCAGUAGCCGGCCUGAGAGGGUGAACGGCCACAUUGGGACUGAGACACGGCCCAA
rnacentral:rRNA from 1 species